rnacentral:rRNA from 1 species
GGUGGAGCAUGUGGUUUAAUUCGAUGCAACGCGAAGAACCUUACCUACUCUUGACAUCCAGAGAAUUUGCUAGAGAUAGCUUAGUGCCUUCGGGAACUCUGAGACAGGUGCUGCAUGGCUGUCGUCAGCUCGUGUUGUGAAAUGUUGGGUUAAGUCCCGCAACGAGCGCAACCCUUAUCCUUUGUUGCCAGCGAGUAAUGUCGGGAACUCAAAGGAGACUGCCGGUGAUAAACCGGAGGAGGGUGGGAUGACGUCAAGUCAUCAUGGCCCUUACGAGUAGGGCUACACACGUGCUACAAUGGCAUAUACAAAGAGAAGCGAACUCGCGAGAGCAAGCGGACCUCAUAAAGUAUGUCGUAGUCCGGAUUGGAGUCUGCAACUCGACUCCAUGAAGUCGGAAUCGCUAGUAAUCGUAGAUCAGAAUGCUACGGUGAAUACGUUCCCGGGUCUU